UACGUAGGUGGCAAGCGUUUGUCCGGAUUUACUGGGCGUAAAGAGCGCGCAGGCGGCCAAGUCAGUCGAAUGUGAAAGCCCCCGGCUUAACUGGGGAGGGUCACGCGAUACUGAUCGACUCGAAGGCAGGAGAGGGUAGUGGAAUUCCCGGUGUAGUGGUGAAAUGCGUAGAUAUCGAGAGGAACACCUGCGGCGAAGGCGGGUUGCUGGGCUGAUACUGACGCUGAGGCGCGAAAGCUAGGGGAGCGAACGGG
rnacentral:rRNA from 1 species